CCUACGGGAGGCAGCAGUGGGGAAUCUUGCGCAAUGGGCGAAAGCCUGACGCAGCCAUGCCGCGUGAAUGAUGAAGGUCUUAGGAUUGUAAAAUUCUUUCACCGGGGACGAUAAUGACGGUACCCGGAGAAGAAGCCCCGGCUAACUUCGUGCCAGCAGCCGCGGUAAUACGAAGGGGGCUAGCGUUGCUCGGAAUUACUGGGCGUAAAGGGAGCGUAGGCGGAUAGUUUAGUCAGAGGUGAAAGCCCAGGGCUCAACCUUGGAAUUGCCUUUGAUACUGGCUAUCUUGAGUGUGGGAGAGGUAUGUGGAACUCCGAGUGUAGAGGUGAAAUUCGUAGAUAUUCGGAAGAACACCAGUGGCGAAGGCGACAUACUGGCCCAUUACUGACGCUGAGGCUCGAAAGCGUGGGGAGCAAACAGGAUUAGAUACCCUGGUAGUCCACGCUGUAAACGAUGAGUGCUAGUUGUCGGCAUGCAUGCAUGUCGGUGACGCAGCUAACGACAUAAGACACUCCGCCGUCGGGAGGUACGGUCGCGAAGAAGUUAAAACUAACAAUAGAAGUUAGACGGACGUAGAGACGUAGACCGACGGACGACGACGAGGGAGGAGG
rnacentral:rRNA from 1 species